rnacentral:tRNA from 1 species
UCUAAUAUGGCAGACUAGUGCAAUGAAUUUAAACCUCAUCUAUAAAGAUUUACUCUUUUUUUAGAA